rnacentral:lncRNA from 1 species
CCAUUUAUUUUCACUGGGUUUAGUGGUCACCUGUAUAUGCACCCUCUGUCCUUUAAAAUACUAAAAUACCUACAUACUGGUUGUGUUUUUGGGAGAUAAGGGAAACAGGGAACGAUGUGGUUACAUGACACGCUCACUGUUAGGGCCCCAGCGUUCUACUAGGAGCUUUUGAUUAACCAAAUAAUGUUUUGAUUUACUGAAAUAAAAUGGAUAAAUCCAUCAUUUCUGAAAACAUUUGGGAGCUGCAUUUAAUGAUGCAGUAGUUCAAACACUUGAGGUCCUACUCAGAUCAAGACGAAACAUUAUUAGAAAUAUGGUAACUUAGCCACUUCACCAUCCCUCUGGUGCGUCUUUGUUGAACAGGAAUUUGUCUAAUAGGUUUAGUUCUAAUACAGUACUGGCAUACUUCUACAAAAUUGUCUUGGCUUUUUGUUCUUGACUCUUUUGAGAGACUUGUGGAGCUGGAGGCUCUGACCUCUGCUGCACUGGUUGUUACUUACCCUCAAAUAUUUCAGUGGCUGUUAUAUAAGGACCUUGAGUACUUGUGUGCUUUCCAUUAAAGCACACUUGAACUCGCCUUUUUUUUUUUUUUAAUGCAGUUGGUCAAAUGGUUUUUAGAGCAGGGGCCAACUGCAGAAAGCACACACAAAGGAGUGGAUGUCACAUGCUGCAGAAUAGACACAUGCCUCGGACAGUAUCUGUAUCCAGGACGGCCGCACUCUGCUUUAACCACCUUUUUUUUUUUUUCCCAGGUGUCACCUCUUCACUUUCUCUGAGUUAAGUUCUCUCUGUGUGUGUGUUACUUAUGCUGGUUUACAGGGAGACAUCCUUACUGUCAUCAGACGGGUGGAUGAACACUGGAUCGAAGCCAAGCUAGGGGACAAAGUUGGAAUUUGCCCUCAGCAGUUUACAGAACCAAUCUCAGUGGCUGCCAAACUGCUAGAGGAAAAGAAUCGGAGGGUGAGUGACUCAGCAGAAUCUCACUAUCGGACUAGGAGCGGGGGCAAAGACAAGGCCACUGACGCAUCCAGCAGGACCACCCAUUACGGAGUCCCUCAAGUUCCAGCAAAGACAACCAUCACCACUUAUUUGCCCCUCUCAAGCCAACGGAGACAUUCUGCAACCAGCAGUGGCAAAUUUUAUCAGACCAUCGGUACUGUCAAUAACUUGAAUCACCAGGGUGAGGCCCAUCGCCUCUCUGUGUCAUCUGGUGCCCGGGGUCACUCUCACCACUCCAGAGAGAACUCGCAUCGAGUCAGACGGCACCCUAACACCACGUACAGACACCUGUUACAGGUGAGUCACACGCCAGCACAUGCAUCUCUAUGCAUAUGUGAUACUUCACCUCAUUGUUUAUCUUUAUCAUAUUGCUGCUCUAAAAUGUGUUUGGCUCGCAUCAUUUGCUAUGGUUUGGUUUAA